AAAAGAAAGAAGUGAGGACAGAGCAAGAGGCACAAGAAUGAAAAGAAAGAAAGAAAUAGAUAGAAGUAAAAAGGGAGAUCAAAAAAAGGGAUCCAGAGGAAACCAAAAAAUAGGAUCAUAGAGAAAGCUGAAGAAGGAAGUAGCUGAAGGAGGAAACCGAAAAAGCGUUCAUCUACGUAUAACAUCUGUAUGCGUGUGUCUCUGUAAGCGUGCAUUAUUUGUAUGUCUAUUUACGUAUUUUGUAUGCGUGUGUACCUAUG